GCCCGUGGCUCAAUGGUUAGAGCGUUGGACUUCUGAUCAACAGGUCGCGGGUUCGAUCCUCGGCUGGAGCA
rnacentral:tRNA from 1 species